rnacentral:rRNA from 1 species
ACCCGCUGAACUUAAGCAUAUCAAUAAGCGGAGGAAAAGAAACCAACAGGGAUUGCCUCAGUAACGGCGAGUGAAGCGGCAAGAGCUCAAAUUUAAAAGCCGACGUAGCUUUAAGAGACGUCCGCAUUGUAAUUUGAAGAGGCAUUCUCGGGUCGGGGCUCAGGCCUAAGUUCCUUGGAAGAGGGCGUCGUGGAGGGUGAGAACCCCGUUCGCGGCCUGCUGUCGACCUUUCCCCGAUCCACACGAGGUGCCAUCGAAGAGUCGAGUUGUUUGGGAAUGCAGCUCAAAGCGGGUGGUAAAUUCCAUCUAAAGCUAAAUAUUGACGGGAGACCGAUAGCGAACAAGUAGAGUGAUCGAAAGAUGAAAAGCACUUUUGGAAAGAGAGUUAAACAGCACGUGAAAUUGUUGAAAGGGAAGCGCUUGAGACCAGUCACGGACCGAGGCGAUCAGUGGGACGUCCCUCUCGGGGGAGGAACCGCGCACUCGCUUUUCGGGUUUUCCGGGUCAACAUCGGUUGGGACGGUGUCAGAAAGGUCGCGGGAACGUGGCUCCCUUCACGGGGAGUGUUAUAGCCCGUGGCGUCAAAGUCGCCAGUUUCGACCGAGGACCGCGCUCGUCUUUUUCGAGCAAGGAUGUUGACGUAAUGGUCCC